GCCCCGGUAAACGGCGGCCGUAACUAUAACGGUCCUAAGGUAGCGAAAUUCCUUGUCGGGUAAGUUCCGACCUGCACGAAUGGCGUAAUGAUGGCCAGGCUGUCUCCACCCGAGACUCAGUGAAAUUGAACUCGCUGUGAAGAUGCAGUGUACCCGCGGCAAGACGGAAAGACCCCGUGAACCUUUACUAUAGCUUGACACUGAACAUUGAGCCUUGAUGUGUAGGAUAGGUGGGAGGCUUUGAAGUGUGGACGCCAGUCUGCAUGGAGCCGACCUUGAAAUACCACCCUUUAAUGUUUGAUGUUCUAACGUUGGCCCCUAAUCGGGGUUGCGGACAGUGUCUGGUGGGUAGUUUGACUGGGGCGGUCUCCUCCUAAAGAGUAACGGAGGAGCACGAAGGUUGGCUAAUCCUGGUCGGACAUCAGGAGGUUAGUGCAAUGGCAUAAGCCAGCUUGACUGCGAGCGUGACGGCGCGAGCAGGUGCGAAAGCAGGUCAUAGUGAUCCGGUGGUUCUGAAUGGAAGGGCCAUCGCUCAACGGAUAAAAGGUACUCCGGGGAUAACAGGCUGAUACCGCCCAAGAGUUCAUAUCGACGGCGGUGUUUGGCACCUCGAUGUCGGCUCAUCACAUCCUGGGGCUGAAGUAGGUCCCAAGGGUAUGGCUGUUCGCCAUUUAAAGUGGUACGCGAGCUGGGUUUAGAACGUCGUGAGACAGUUCGGUCCCUAUCUGCCGUGGGCGCUGGAGAACUGAGGGGGGCUGCUCCUAGUACGAGAGGACCGGAGUGGACGCAUCACUGGUGUUCGGGUUGUCAUGCCAAUGGCACUGCCCGGUAGCUAAAUGCGGAAGAGAUAAGUGCUGAAAGCAUCUAAGCACGAAACUUGCCCCGAGAUGAGUUCUCCCUGAGACUUAGAGUCUCCUGAAGGAACGUUGAAG
rnacentral:rRNA from 1 species